AUAAUUUUAACUUAAUAAUUGUUUCUUCUUUUCUUUUAACAGAAAUCAUACCAAAGAGCAUAGCAAAGAGCAAAGCAAAGGCAUUGCCAUAUCUGAUGAAACUGGUCUGCCAGUAUGUGUUUCUCAUCGUUUCCUAACUGAAGCUCCAGAUUUAAUGAAACUGGAAAGAGUGCUGGGACAUAGAAGAAGCACAUGUCAGCAUUUAUGGAACUGAAUGGAAG
rnacentral:lncRNA from 1 species